rnacentral:rRNA from 1 species
UGGAAUCGCUAGUAAUCGCGAAUCAGAAUGUCGCGGUGAAUACGUUCCCGGGUCUUGUACACACCGCCCGUCACACCAUGGGAGUCGGAAAUGCCCGAAGUCAGUGACCCAACCGUAAGGAGGGAGCUGCCGAAGGUGGAGUCGAUAACUGGGGUGAAGUCGUAACAAGGUACC